rnacentral:rRNA from 1 species
GACAGAGGAUGCAAGCGUUAUCCGGAAUGAUUGGGCGUAAAGCGUCUGUAGGUGGCUUUUUUAAGUCUGCCGUCAAAUCCCAGGGCUCAACCCUGGACAGGCGGUGGAAACUACCAAGCUGGAGUACAGUAGGGGCAGGGGGAAUUUCCGGUGGAGCGGUGAAAUGCAUUGAGAUCGGAAAGAACACCAACGGCGAAAGCACUCUGCUGGGCCAACACUGACACUGAGAGACGAAAUCUAGGGGAGCAAAUGGG